rnacentral:sRNA from 1 species
CAUUACAACUGGAUUCUAUAUAGAGAGCUGGUGUUGUAUAUCUGCUGCUACUUAGGCGACAAUUGUAAAGCCUAUCAACCAAACAUGGUUGAUAGGUUGGUUGGCAUAUUUGAAAUAUUUCAGUUUCUCAUUCUGGCGACGGCCAUUUCGUUAUUCCUAAUACUGAACUGAAGCAAGACUUUUAGGACACACAUUUGAACCAACACCAUGCACUCCAAGUCAUCUCCUGGUAAUUCAAAUAUUCCACCUAGGGAAGUUUUUUCUGCUUCUGGCUUAUGGAAAUGACGAUGACAGUAUUAAAAUAUUCAAAUUUUGUGUUGCAAUUUCAUAAGCAGUUUUUGAUUAUGACAACCAACCUGAAGCCACUUACUUCUUGGCAAAUAACAUUCUAGCCAACCCAUAAUCCACAUCCCAUGGCAUGGUGGUCGCUCUCUGGCGCUCGUUUAAACAGCCACCAACCGGUUGUACUCUGCUGAUAUCAGUAGCAUCCAGUGGCACUCCCACUCCCGCUUCCACUAAACCAACGGCAUCAACCAAUCCCAAGUCAUUGAGACCGACAGCUAUCCAGCCAAGGCAGCAUUUUCUUUACGUAUAUUGCCAUUGUAAUAUUUUUGGUGGCACG